rnacentral:rRNA from 1 species
CAGCAGCCACGGUAAUACGGAGGGGGCUAGCGUUGUUCGGAAUUACUGGGCGUAAAGCGCACGUAGGCGGCUUUGUAAGUUAGAGGUGAAAGCCCGGAGCUCAACUCCGGAAUUGCCUUUAAGACUGCAGAGCUAGCAGGUGAGAGAGGUGAGUGGAAUUCCGAGUGUAGAGGUGAAAUUCGUAGAUAUUCGGAAGAACACCAGUGGCGAAGGCGGCUCACUGGCUCAUACUGGACGCUGAGGUGCGAAAGCGUGGGGAGCAAACAGGAUUAGAUACCCGCGUAGUCCCUGUCUCUUAUAC